rnacentral:tRNA from 1 species
AGGAUAUUAGUUAAAACCAUAACAUUUAUUUUGCAAAUAAAAAUUAUUAAACAAAUUUAUAUCUUU